UACGAAGGGGGCGAGCGUUGUUCGGAUUUACUGGGCGUAAAGGGCGCGCAGGCGGCUCAUUUUGUCAGGCGUGAAAGCCCCGGGCUUAACCUGGGAACUGCGUUUGAUACGGAUGGGCUAGAGUUCGGGAGAGGGAUGCGGAAUUCCAGGUGUAGCGGUGAAAUGCGUAGAUAUCUGGAGGAACACCGGUGGCGAAGGCGGCAUCCUGGACCGACACUGACACUGAGGAGCGAAAGCCAGGGGAGCAAACGGG
rnacentral:rRNA from 1 species